CUACGGGGGGCUCCAGUCGAGAAUAUUCGGCAAUGGGCGAAAGCCUGACCGAGCGACGCCGCGUGCUUGAUGAAGUCCUUCGGGAUGUAAAGAGCUUUUAUAGAGGAACAAUCCGCCAUCUGGCGGAUGAGCGUACUUUAUGAAUAAGGGGGUGCUAAUCACGUGCCAGCAGCAGCGGUAAUACGUGACCCUCAAGCGUUAUCCGGAUUUAUUGGGCGUAAAGAGUCUGUAGGCGGUAAGAAUAGUCUUAGGUUAAAUACCCAGAGCUCAACUUUGGGAGUGCCUGAGAAACUUUCUAACUAGUGGGCGCUAGGGGCUGGUGGAACGGUCGGUGUAGGGGUGAUAUCCGUUGAUAUCGACCGGAACCCUAAAAGCGGAGGCAUCCAGCUGGGGCGACCCUGACGCUGAGAGACGAAAGCGUAGGUAGCGAAAAGGAUUAGAUACCCGCGUAGUC
rnacentral:rRNA from 1 species